GUGGUAAAAAAAAGAGUCCAAUAGCAUCAACGUAGAACUAGCGUAGAACAACACAAAUCGGUUCAAAUCGUCGUUAGAAGGGCAAAGGGAGAUUUUGUAGAUUACUGGGCAAGGUCGAGGGAUUACAAAAGAAACUAAAAUGGUGCACACGAACAUCCCACAAUCCGUCAUAAAGGCACCCUACCAGGACGUCAGGAAGGGUAAGACUGGAGCCACGAUGUACGAUAAUCAGCAGAACUCGCCGAAGAAGGGCGACAAGUACAAUUCCUGGGGUCCGAUCUUCAAGAACAAGCAAAGCUUCAUCGACAUGCACAUUUGCUGACGCGUGGCUUCAAAGGGAACGCGACAUCCGGCGAUAUCGCGGUUUAAUGGUUGCAGGCGCCAUUCGUUUUGAAAAUAAUCGCGUAUCGAGGAUCCGAGAUCUUCUCUCGUGGCGAGAUUUAAAUUAGAAUGGCGUCUGUAAUACAAACUUGGUCUGUGGGGUAACUCGUGGUAAUUCAACAAUGUUAACAAAUAAGAUUUUCGUACGAAUAAAGAUGUGCACCAUUGCGA